rnacentral:lncRNA from 1 species
UUUGUCUUUAUGAUAACUUAAUGUUGUCUGCCGAGCCAGCAGUAUGGAUUCAGACUGUAUUAAGAAUUACAUCAAGUUUAAGAAAAACUUAUUAGAGUGGAGGAAACUUAUAUCUAUCUAAAGGAGUGCAGAAUAAAUGACGUUCUGCCAAUGUCCAUUCACCGAAUCACAUUACCCAUAAACUCCAUAAGGAUCUUAAAGAACACUAAAGCUAUCUGCUUUAAGUUUGCCUUAUCAGAUGCAAAGAGAAGGUUCUAUCAUCUUAAAACAAUUGUAAGUAAUAUCUUGAUUGAAUUGAACACACUACAUAAUGCAGACGUUAACAGCUACAUUUUGAACUUUGAUAUCAAAAUGACUUCUUUUCAAAAUAGUCUCCGUAUAAAAUAUGUUAAGAAAUUAAAAUGGGUUUUCAAGAAUCAGCUUUGAGCUAAAACAACC